GACGAACGCUGGCGGCGUGCCUGACACAUGCAAGUCGGACGGUUCUUGUAUCUUCAAGCUUGCUUGCAGGUGCAAGGAUAGUGGCGGACGGGUGAGUAACGCGUGAACAUCUACCCAUUGGAGGGGGACAACCCGUCGAAAGGCGGGCUAAUACCGCGUAAGCCGCGAGGUGAGAGGCUGCCUAUUGGUGGCCGCCGAUGGAUGGGUUCGCGUCCUAUCAGCUGGUUGGUGGGGUAACGGCCUACCAAGGCGAAGGCGGGUAGCCGGUCUGAGAGGAUGGCCGGCCACACUGGAACUGAGACACGGUCCAGACUCCUACGGGAGGCAGCAGUGGGGAAUAUUGGGCAAUGGGGGAGACCCUGACCCAGCGACGCCGCGUGAGGGAUGAAGGUUUUCGGAUCGUAAACCUCUGUUGUACGGGAAGAAGGAUGUGACGGUACCGUACGAGAAAGCCCCGGCAAACUACGUG
rnacentral:rRNA from 1 species